rnacentral:lncRNA from 1 species
ACUACCACCAGGUGUCGCUCUCGGACGCCCCUGCACGAUCCCACCAAGGUGACGGCCGGGAGUCCAGACCUUGGCCCGGAAGUUGCCGGAGGCCACGGCUGAGGAAAUCAGUUAUUUUACCGUCGUUUCUGUAGGCUGAGUGGAGUCCGUAGUAGAGCAUUAACUUUCCACCUUGUAAGCUGUGCACAAGAACUACGCACACAUCACACCGCUUGACCCUCUUGGAGAACACCAUUUCUUCCCCAAACCAGCAUAAUGUCAAGAGCCCCGUACAGUACUGGGGAUCAAACUCAGGACCUUGCACUUGCCAAACAGGCACGGCGCCACUGAGCUAUAUCUCUGGACCCACAAUUUUUAAAAAGCAGGCAAGAGCCUUGGCUUCGGCUCCUUUCUCACCCCAAGGGCUCACUCUGGGGAAAAGAGCUGCUGUGUUGUGCAAAGAGGUUCCAAGGGAGGAAACAGCCGCUGAAAGAAGCCUGGAACCAGACCCUCCAGCCAUGGACACGCCUCAGACACCUGCAGCCCCAAGGACAUCUGUAAGCUCCCAAGAGACCCUUGGGGUGGGGACAGCCAGCUAGGCCUGUCCAGAAUCCCAACCCUGUAAAUACUUGUUAUUUAAAACCACUACUUUGGGGGAGGACGU